AUAAAAAAUGAGGGUACUCCAUUAAGAAUUUUCAUGUUUUUGAAUGAAUAUGCGAAUAUUGAUAUGUUCUUCCCCUGCAUGAACCGCCAUUCAACAUUUAAUUUACAUCACACAAAAGGAUAAACAUAGAAUUAUCAUGGAAUAAGUAUAUCAACAUACAUGGACUACAAUAAAGCAUAAAAUUAGUAACAUACGAUCUAAAAAUAAAAUGAUAGACGACGUUGUUGUUCUUCUUGGUCACGUUGGUGUCAUUGAUUGAAUUCGUUUGACAAUUCAUUGAUUCGAUCUAAAAACGAAUCAUCGAUAUUAGCGGGCGUCUGACUAUUCUCAAAUCCCUGAGUGUUAAUAUUUUGUUGUGUUCCCAAUCCAAAAUCCCCAAAGCUUGUCCAUCCUUCAUGCUCACCUGCACUGUCGUGCUCAUCCCUACACUGUUGCUGUUGGGACUCGAUAUGUGAAUAAUAUGGCUGGGAUAGGGUGGCCUCAGAAUCAUCAUCUCUCUCAUUUUCUCUUAGACCCUCUUCCCACUCUCCCUCAUUAGGUGCAAUAUCACCGACAUAUUGUGGAUACAUUGGUUGGCUGCUUCCUCUUUCAUGCCGCUCAUCACUUUCUUCAAUAUCUUCAUCACCGAUAGCCUCAAGGAACGCUCUCUUGUGCAACACUGGCUCCUCCUCUUCUACUACCCAUCGGUCUGCUGUGUCUGUGACNNN
rnacentral:lncRNA from 1 species